UACGGAGGGUGCAAGCGUUAUCCGGAUUCACUGGGUUUAAAGGGUGCGUAGGUGGGUCUGUAAGUCAGUGGUGAAAUCUCCGAGCUUAACUUGGAAACUGCCAUUGAUACUAUCUGUCUUGAAUAUUGUGGAGGUGAGCGGAAUAUGUCAUGUAGCGGUGAAAUGCUUAGAUAUGACAUAGAACACCAAUUGCGAAGGCAGCUCGCUACACAUAUAUUGACUCUGAGGCACGAAAGCGUGGGGAUCAAACAGG
rnacentral:rRNA from 1 species